UCAUAGCCAUAACCUCACUGUUGCCCUUAUCUUGCUCCCGCUGCUCCACUAAAGCCCCAGUCCAUUGCAGCCUCCCUCCAUCGCAACUCGUGCUCCAACUUGAAGACAUACACAGCAACAACAACCCGUGCUCCAAGUUAAAGGGACAAUGAUUGCCACCCACAAAGACAGUGGUUGCCACCUCCUUGCCUCCAUCCCUUAAAUUAGGGUUGAGGUUAGUUCUGUUUCAUCUCCCUUCCAUUAUCAACAUGAAUUUGAGUAGCUAAAAUUAGGGUUUCAAUUCCCUCUCUCUGAUCUUGUUGAUGAUUUCUUAAUUUAAUGUUGAAUUCGCCUAUUAACAUAUUUAAUUUCGCUAUUUUCCAUACUAAAUUUUGCAUGCAUCUGAAUUGGGUGAAGUUAGGAUUUUUUUUUUUUUUUUUUAGGUUUUUCAAUUAUGGCUGAUUUGUUUUUCCUUUGUAAUUUGAUCUUUUAUUAACUAAUCUGACCAAUUUUUAUUUAAUUAUGUUCUUUUCUAAAUUGAUUUCUGGUAAGCUUGUCGACAAUCCAAAUAAUUGUGGGAAAAGAGAUGCAAAAAUCCAAAAAAUGCCAUUUAUAAUUGAAGAAUUGGUGUUUCAUAUACAAAUUACUUCUGCUAUUCCUACUACUUCUUAAACCACCACUCUUGGCAAAGUGGCAAGGUUUGCUUUUAUUUAUUUAUUUAUUUUAUUAAUCUUAAGCUCUUAUUAUAUAAUUGGAUUUUUAUUUCUCAUUACCUCAAUUAUUUUUUACUUUUUCCUGAUUAUUUGUUACUUUGUAAGUAAUUUAUGAUAACUGCAUCAAUUGUCACAUUUUCCAGGCUUUAAUUUUGUGGGGUAAAGAUGAUAAUAUUAUGCAAUUUACCCAUUUUUCUGGAUUUUGCUUGAUUUUGGGAUUUUAGGUGAUUGAUUAGUUAUACUCUGUUUCUCUCUUUCUCAUGGCAGCAUAAUCAGUUACCUCUAGUAAAGCUCUCAAUUGUUAGGUUACGUGACUAAUUUAAGAAAUUAGCAAGUGUGUGAUAAUGCCAAUAGGGAACCUACAGGUGGUAUGACAAAGAGGUCAAUUAGGAGUUAUAUUGAUGGAGACUUAGUCCUUUAGAAGAGGCUACACGAGAAUAUGUAUACUCUUACACCAUGACUCAUGAGUGUGGAGCUCUUAUGGCCACAGGAAGGGCAGUCUUACUGUCCCAAUCUUCAAAGUCUGUUCCCUGAAACAAAGAGUGAGCACGCCGUGCUUCCUCCUCGUGAUAUACCAAUGAUCCAUGCUAGUCUUAGCAAACACUUAUACCCCCACUUGAAUCACUUGAUUGAGCUUCUCUCCACACCAACAUUUCUGAUAGCUUCUUGUCGACUUUAACAAUUUGAUCCUCGCUUUAAGAACAGAAGUGUCCUAAAUAACUUUAUCAGUUGUGAUUCAUUUCCCAUUCUAGAAAAUUAGCCAAUGUUCAAAAAUCAGAUAACACCCCCUUGCAAAAAACAGAGUAGUUCAGAAUUCAGAUUAGCUAGCAGGAUAUAGAAAGAACACUCAAAAAAUAUUUUCCCACAUCAAUGAUUUCCAAGAAGAUGGUAGUAGCCUUGGGGGGUCAAUGGGUGGAUCAUAGCCUAAGUAGUAUCUCAUAAUUUGUGUCGUCAAUGAAGCCGCGUUCACGUAGCUUCUGCCCCACUCCAGAAGUCAAGAUACAACUUUUUUACUCUGAAACCACAAGAUAUUUACUCUGUUUAUAUAAUCAGUUACCUCCAGUCAAGAUCUCAAUUGUUAGGUUACAUGACUAAUUUAAGCAAUUGGCAAGUGUGUGAUAAUGCCAAUAGGGAACCUACAGGUGGUAUGACAAAGAGGUGAAUUAGGAGUUAUAUUGAUGGAGAAUUAGUCCUAUCAUGUAAUCAAUAUAUUGAUUUAUAUUAUGAAUUAGUGGCUAUGUAUUUUAACUAGAAACUACAAUAUUGUUUGAGCCUUAGAGGCCAUGGCUUUUAAGUUUCUAUACUUUCAUAUUUAUUUUUCUUGAGUAGUUGUACAAGGACUAGUAAUUUAUCCUGAUAGUCUUACAUUACCGUAAAGUGGUACCCUUAGUUAUACAAUGUGACUAAAGUUUGAAUGAGUAAUUAGAAUAUCCAUUGACUUAGUGCUAGCAAGGCACAUGAUUUAUCCAAAUUCACUAUGUUAGUGUAUUAUUCCUAUUCAUCUUUCUUCACAAAGAGGUAGAAAUUCGAGAUAAAGCAUGAGAUAAGUGUAUAUUAAUCUCUAUGACUUUGUUAUGAGAAAAGUAAAGGCAAGUUAUGUACUACUCAUAGCUAGAAGUCUAGAAUUUAAUUUUUCUUGCGAUCUGAAUGCUUGUAAUGGUAAAUCUACAGCAAAAAGUCAGUGACCAGCUAAUGAUUUUUGGUUGGGUUUAUGUAAAAGGAGAAUAGGUGAUCUAAAGGGAACCACCUUCUUCAUUUGUUAGACCUCAAAUCACCCCUCCUAAUCAACCUCACUAGCAAAUUUCAGUCUUUAUAAGCGAGUUUGAUAUGAGGAUUUCGUAAGUACUCUCCUAUUUUCUUCCCCUCUUUAUUCUUUGCUUAUUUCUUCAAUAUCCUCAUUUUAUUUGUGAUUCUUUAUCGAUGAACUGUUACUCUUUGAUUUUAUUUGAAUUUCAUGUUUUUAUCUAUAUUUUGAUAUUUAUCUUGUAAUCUUGUCGCAUAUCAUUAGUGUUGUUAAACCUAUUUAUUUGUCAAUUUGGUUUCUGUUUUGGUUUAAUUUUGUAUGAAUCUUUUCGGUAAUUGCUUACUAAUUUUAAAAUUCAUACCUUAAUUAAGGAGUACGUUAAGAAACCUAUAGGUUUUUAGGGGAAUUAUCAGUUUCAAUUUUCUAGAUACACCUUAUUUAUAUAAAAAGAGACCUGGAAUUGGUAAAUUAACCAAGCUAAAAUUUCUAGUAAAAACUUUGGAACUAAUUUUUGUUCAUGUGAAAUACAAUUUUAACUAAUUGGUCUUAAAAAGCAAUUGAGAAUUUGAAUUAACUUGUCACUGCAAUCGCCAAUAAGCCUGCCCAAGUAUUAGUAUGGUUUUCACUCUUUUUUUUUUAUUAUUGUAUUCUACCAGUAAUAAGCAAUCUUUAAGCAAUAACUCUUACAUAUGGUACAAUGAAGCCAAUUAGUACUAGGACCAACAGUUACAGGGAUAAAUAUUCAUAAUUAAAAGUUUAAAUUAUUCUACAGUUUUAUGUGAGACUAAAUCCUAAUCAAAUUAUUACAGAUUAUUAAGGAUGAAAUUACUAAAGGUUAUUAUUGUUAGUUUGUUGGACAUUUUUUUCUCAUAGUAUUUAUGUUAUAUUGGCUCCUUUUCCUUUUAUUGUUUGAUUUUCAUGAUAAUUCAAUGGCUCGCUAUCUAUCUCUCGAUGUGGAAGGUGCUACAUCAUUUGCUCCUGUAAUUGAAAUGGCCAUGACAAUUGUUGAGGAGAGUGGAGGACAAUACCAUGUUUUACUCAUUAUUGCAGAUGGAUAGAUUGAUUGAAGACAAAAAUACUCGUAAAUAUUCAAGAAAUUAGUAGAAGAUAGAGAUAAACUUGAUUUCAUUAGUUUAUUUCCUUGGAGUUGUUGUGCAGUUUUGUUCUUUUUUGUAUAGUAAUAGUGUAAUGGAGUACUAUUAAGUAUUGAUUUAUUUGCUUUUAUCUUGUAUUUGACUUCACCUUACCAAUUAAAGAUUGAAUUUAGUUUUAUUGAUAAUGAAUGUAGCUUGUUGUGAACAUGUGAA